CAGUCGCCGCGGUAAUACGGAGGGUGCAAGCGUUAAUCGGAAUUAUUGGGCGUAAAGAGCUCGUAGGCGGUUUGUCGCGUCUGCUGUGAAAUCCCGAGGCUCAACCUCGGGCUUGCAGUGGGUACGGGCAGACUAGAGUGCGGUAGGGGAGAUUGGAAUUCCUGGUGUAGCGGUGGAAUGCGCAGAUAUCAGGAGGAACACCGAUGGCGAAGGCAGAUCUCUGGGCCGUAACUGACGCUGAGGAGCGAAAGCGUGGGGAGCGAACAGGAUUAGAUACCCCGGUAGUCCCUGUCUCUUAUAA
rnacentral:rRNA from 1 species